AAGGCCUACCAAGGCGACGAUCCUUAGCUGGUCUGAGAGGAUGAUCAGCCACACUGGGACUGAGACACGGCCCAGACUCCUACGGGAGGCAGCAGUAGGGAAUAUUGGACAAUGGGCGAAAGCCUGAUCCAGCAAUGCCGCGUGAGUGAUGAAGGCCUUAGGGUUGUAAAGCUCUUUUACCCGAGAUGAUAAUGACAGUAUCGGGAGAAUAAGCUCCGGCUAACUCCGUGCCAGCAGCCGCGGUAAUACGGAGGGAGCUAGCGUUGUUCGGAAUUACUGGGCGUAAAGCGCACGUAGGCGGCGAUUUAAGUCAGAGGUGAAAGCCCGGGGCUCAACCCCGGAACUGCCUUUGAGACUGGAUUGCUAGAAUCU
rnacentral:rRNA from 1 species